AGAGUUUGAUUCUGGCUCAGAACGAACGCUGGCGGCGCGUUUUAAGCAUGCAAGUCGAGCGGCAAGGGUCUUCGGGCCCCUAGAGCGGCGGACGGGUGAGUAACACGUGGACAAUCUGCCCCCCGGCCGGGGAUAGCCCAGGGAAACCUGGAUUAAUACCGGAUGAGACGGGACCCGCGGAGGCGGGAUCCGGGAAAGGCGCUGCGGCGCCGCCGGGGGAUGAGUCUGCGUCCCAUUAGCUUGACGGCGGGGUAACGGCCCACCGUGGCGACGAUGGGUAGCCGGCCUGAGAGGGUGGACGGCCACAUUGGAACUGAGACACGGUCCAGACUCCUACGGGAGGCAGCAGCUAAGAAUCUUCCGCAAUGGGCGAAAGCCUGACGGAGCGACGCCGCGUGAACGAAGAAGGCCGUGAGGUUGUAAAGUUCUUUUCGGGAGGGGGAACAACCGUGGCAGGGAAUGGCCGCGGGAUGACGUGAAUCCCGGAAUAAGCCCCGGCUAACUACGUGCCAGCAGCCGCGGUAACACGUAGGGGGCGAGCGUUGUUCGGAAUCAUUGGGCGUAAAGGGCGUGCAGGCGGUCCUGCAAGUCCGGCGUGAAAGACCCCGGCCCAACCGGGGGGGCGCGCUGGAAACUGCAGGGCUUGAGUACAGGAGGGGAUGCCGGAAUUCCAGGUGUAGGGGUGAAAUCUGUAGAUAUCUGGAGGAACACCAAUGGCGAAGGCAGGCAUCUGGCCGUGUACUGACGCUGAGACGCGAAGGUGCGGGGAGCAAACAGGAUUAGAUACCCUGGUAGUC
rnacentral:rRNA from 1 species